GACGAACGCUGGCGGCGUGCUUAACACAUGCAAGUCGAACGGAAAGGCCCUGCUUGCAGGGUACUCGAGUGGCGAACGGGUGAGUAACACGUGGGUGAUCUGCCCUGCACUUCGGGAUAAGCCUGGGAAACUGGGUCUAAUACCGGAUAGGAGCCAUUUUUAGUGUGAUGGUUGGAAAGUUUUUUCGGUGUAGGAUGAGCUCGCGGCCUAUCAGCUUGUUGGUGGGGUAAUGGCCUACCAAGGCGGCGACGGGUAGCCGGCCUGAGAGGGUGGACGGCCACAUUGGGACUGAGAUACGGCCCAGACUCCUACGGGAGGCAGCAGUGGGGAAGAUUGCACAAUGGGCGCAAGCCUGAUGCAGCGACGCCGCGGGGGGGAGGACGGCCUUCGGGUUGUAAACGCCUUUCGCUAGGGACGAAGCUUUUUGUGACGGUACCUAGAGAAGAAGCACCGGCUAACUACGUG
rnacentral:rRNA from 1 species